rnacentral:rRNA from 1 species
UCGGUCCCUAUCUGCCGUGGGCGCUGGAGAAUUGAGGGGGGCUGCUCCUAGUACGAGAGGACCGGAGUGGACGCAUCACUGGUGUUCGGGUUGUCAUGCCAAUGGCACUGCCCGGUAGCUAAAUGCGGAAGAGAUAAGUGCUGAAAGCAUCUAAGCACGAAACUUGCCCCGAGAUGAGUUCUCCCUGAGACUUUAAGUCUCCUGAAGGAACGUUAAAGACUAUGACGUUGAUAGGUCGGGUGUGUAAGCGCAGCGAUGCGUUGAGCUAACCGAUACUAAUGAACCGUGAGGCUUAACCUU